rnacentral:lncRNA from 1 species
AGGACAAGGUCUCCGUUCUCGAGCCCCCGGGGACGGACUCGCCUGUCGUGAUAACGACGGAGUCCCUGCUUGUAACAUCCGAAUUUUUCUAAUUUGGAUGUUAUCACCUUUUUCAUGUCACAUGCAUAUCAUUUUGACCAUAUUUGAGUUUGGAGAUGAUCUUACAAUUUAAUUGGGAGUUUAUUUGGACCUUAAGAGUGAUUAUUUGCAUUUGUUGGAAUUUAUUUGAGCUGCAUAUGCAUUAAAAAUAUUUUUAUAAAUUACAUUCCAUGAGGAAACUAGUUUUCCUAGCUUCCAAACAGGUAUUUGGAAUUUCAGGAAUUUUCUGGAAUUUUUCCGAUGCCAUUUGGUAUUUUAUUUGCCUUAUUUGAUUUUCUAGCGAUUUAGAGACCCAGAAAAAGCUAUUUCUUUAUUUGUUUUUAUUUUAUUGCGCGGAGUACGUUUUCUCUUCAUCGAGGCGUAUUUCCGUGAAACCCGUUUUCACUUAAGUGUACCGAAGGGGUAUCUUUUAAUCUCAUGCAUCCAUUUCCCAUCCAACGGCCAUCCUUCCUUUUUCCUUUUCCUUUUCUUUUUUUUUCUUUUCUCCUUUCUUCCUUCUUCUUCCUCACGUAAGCACAGGCACAGCCUGUUCUGGCUGCGUCCAUGGCCAAGCCCGGCGCGGCCGCCGCCGCUGCUCGCCUGUCCCGCCCCGCCGCCCUGGCUCCGCCACUUGCCGCCGCAACCCCGU